rnacentral:rRNA from 1 species
AUGCAGUUCCACCUGGCUUCAGAGGUGGUGCUGCGCCUGGAUGUCGCACAGGAGAAGAGGCAGCUCACACGCAGUGAGUUCUGGCUGCGGAAAACACUGAAGCUGAAAAUCGUUGGUCUCACAGCCCUCGAGCGAGUCAGAAGGCGUCAGGCCUCGCGUAUCACUUGGUUGAAGGCGGGCGACGCGUCCACAACAUUCGUCCAGGCAAAACAAACUUCCAGGCGACAAAGAAACUUCAUCCAGUGCAUCCAGUCGGCUGGAGGUCUCAAGACUAGCCACACCGACAAGGCAGCCGUGGUGCACGAACACUUCUCCUCCUUGCUGGGGCAGAAAAGGAACCGGCCUCGCACGAUCAACUGGGAGGCACUGGAGUUACCAAGAUUGCAUGCGGGGGCUGGACUCGACAACCCCUUCUCGGAGGCUGAGGUU